rnacentral:rRNA from 1 species
AUUGAACGCUGGCGGCAUGCCUUACACAUGCAAGUCGAACGGCAGCACGGGAGCAAUCCUGGUGGCGAGUGGCGAACGGGUGAGUAAUAUAUCGGAACGUGCCCAGUCGUGGGGGAUAACGUAGCGAAAGCUACGCUAAUACCGCAUACGAUCUAUGGAUGAAAGCGGGGGAUCGCAAGACCUCGCGCGAUUGGAGCGGCCGAUAUCAGAUUAGGUAGUUGGUGAGGUAAAGGCUCACCAAGCCGACGAUCUGUAGCUGGUCUGAGAGGACGACCAGCCACACUGGGACUGAGACACGGCCCAGACUCCUACGGGAGGCAGCAGUGGGGAAUUUUGGGACAAUGGGCGCAAGCCUGAUCCAGCAAUGCCGCGUGCAGGAUGAAGGCCU